AUUCCAGCUCCAAUAGCGUAUAUUAAAGUUGUUGCAGUUAAAAAGCUCGUAGUUGGAUCUCGGGAGCGAGCGAGCGGUCGGGCGUUCAGCCGUGUACUUCUCACUCAUCCUACUGACCGGUACGUGCCCUGUGCUCUUAACCGAGUGUAGGGACCGUCUGGUGCGUUUACUUUGAAAAAAUUAGAGUGCUCAAAGCAGACGAGUCGUCUGAAUAGCCGUGCAUGGAAUAAUGGAAUAGGACCUCGGUUCUAUUUUGUUGGUUUUCGGAAGUCGAGGUAAUGAUUAAGAGGGACAGACGGGGGCAUUCGUACUGGGCCGCCAGAGGUGAAAUUCUUUAACUGGCUCAUGACGAACAACUGCGAAAGCAUUUGCCAAGAAUGUUUUCAUUA
rnacentral:rRNA from 1 species